rnacentral:rRNA from 1 species
AUGAACGCUGGCGGCGUGCCUAAUACAUGCCAGUCGCGCGAACAGAUAAGGAGCUUGCUCCUUUGACGUUAGCGGCGGACGGGUGAGUAACACGUGGGUAACCUACCUAUAAGACUGGGAUAACUUCGGGAAACCGGAGCUAAUACCGGAUAACAUUUGGAACCGCAUGGUUCUAAAGUGAAAGAUGGUUUUGCUAUCACUUAUAGAUGGACCCGCGCCGUAUUAGCUAGUUGGUAAGGUAACGGCUUACCAAGGCGACGAUACGUAGCCGACCUGAGAGGGUGAUCGGCCACACUGGAACUGAGACACGGUCCAGACUCCUACGGGAGGCAGCAGUAGGGAAUCUUCCGCAAUGGGCGAAAGCCUGACGGAGCAACGCCGCGUGAGUGAUGAAGGGUUUCGGCUCGUAAAACUCUGUUAUUAGGGAAGAACAAAUGUGUAAGUAACUGUGCACGUCUUGACGGUACCUAAUCAGAAAGCCACGGCUAACUACGUG